CUGAGUCUGCACUCUGACUGUUCUCUGCACAUCACUGAAGUCACCACUGAUGAAGCUGGACUCUACACCUGUCAGCAGUAUGGGGGAAAGGGUGAACCCAAAAUCAGAAAAGAUACUUCAGUUCAUCGGUCAGUUCUUUCUGAUGUACAACCGUCCUCCCCUCCUGAUAGCAUAACCAGUAGAGCUUCAUCAGACAGCUGCCCAUCACACCACUCCUCAGGGGACCCCCAAGGCAAACCCAAC